UACGAGAGGCCCAAACGUUAUUCGGAAUUACUGGGCUUAAAGAGUUCGUAGGCGGCAUUGCAAGUAGGGUGUGAAAGCCCUCGGCUCAACCGAGGAAUUGCGCUCUAAACUGCAGUGCUUGAGGAACCUAGAGGUGAGCAGAACAGAUGGUGGAGCGGUGAAAUGCGUUGAUAUCAUCUGGAAUACCGGAGGCGAAGGCGGCUCACUGGGAGUUUUCUGACGCUGAGGAACGGAAAGCCAGGGUAGCGAACGGG
rnacentral:rRNA from 1 species